rnacentral:rRNA from 1 species
UACGAAGGGGGCGAGCGUUGUUCGGAAUCACUGGGCGUAAAGGGCGCGUAGGCGGGAUGGCAAGUCAGUCGUGAAAUCUCUCGGCUCAACCGAGAAACGUCGGCUGAUACUGCCGUUCUUGAGGGAUGCAGAGGAGACUGGAAUUCCCGGUGUAGCGGUGAAAUGUGUAGAGAUCGGGAGGAACACCGGUGGCGAAGGCGGGUCUCUGGGCAUCUCCUGACGCUGAGGCGCGAAAGCGUGGGGAGCAAACGGG